rnacentral:rRNA from 1 species
GAUGAACGCUGGCGGCGUGCCUAAUACAUGCAAGUCGAGCGAACGGACGAGAAGCUUGCUUUUCUGAUGUUAGCGGCGGACGGGUGAGUAACACGUGGAUAACCUACCUAUAAGACUGGGAUAACUUCGGGAAACCGGAGCUAAUACCGGAUAAUAUUUUGAACCGCAUGGUUCAAAAGUGAAAGACGGUCUUGCUGUCACUUAUAGAUGGAUCCGCGCUGCAUUAGCUAGUUGGUAAGGUAACGGCUUACCAAGGCAACGAUGCAUAGCCGACCUGAGAGGGUGAUCGGCCACACUGGAACUGAGACACGGUCCAGACUCCUACGAGAGGCAGCAGUAGGGAAUCUUCCGCAAUGGGCGAAAGCCUGACGGAGCAACGCCGCGUGAGUGAUGAAGGUCUUCGGAUCGUAAAACUCUGUUAUUAGGGAAGAACAUAUGUGUAAGUAACUGUGCACAUCUUGACGGUACCUAAUCAGAAAGCCACGGCUAACUACGUGCCAGCAGCCGCGGUAAUACGUAGGUGGCAAGCGUUAUCCGGAAUUAUUGGGCGUAAAGCGCGCGUAGGCGGUUUUUUAAGUCUGAUGUGAAAGCCCACGGCUCAACCGUGGAGGGUCAUUGGAAACUGGAAAACUUGAGUGCAGAAGAGGAAAGUGGAAUUCCAUGUGUAGCGGUGAAAUGCGCAGAGAUGUGGAGGAACACCAGUGGCGAAGGCGACUUUCUGGUCUGUAACUGACGCUGAUGUGCGAAAGCGUGGGGAUCAAACAGGAUUAGAUACCCUGGUAGUCCACGCCGUAAACGAUGAGUGCUAAGUGUUAGGGGGUUUCCGCCCCUUAGUGCUGCAGCUAACGCAUUAAGCACUCCGCCUGGGGAGUACGACCGCAAGGUUGAAACUCAAAGGAAUUGACGGGGGCCCGCACAAGCGGUGGAGCAUGUGGUUUAAUUCGAAGCAACGCGAAGAACCUUACCAAAUCUUGACAUCCUUUGACAACUCUAGAGAUAGAGCCUUCCCCUUCGGGGGACAAAGUGACAGGUGGUGCAUGGUUGUCGUCAGCUCGUGUCGUGAGAUGUUGGGUUAAGUCCCGCAACGAGCGCAACCCUUAAGCUUAGUUGCCAUCAUUAAGUUGGGCACUCUAAGUUGACUGCCGGUGACAAACCGGAGGAAGGUGGGGAUGACGUCAAAUCAUCAUGCCCCUUAUGAUUUGGGCUACACACGUGCUACAAUGGACAAUACAAAGGGCAGCGAAACCGCGAGGUCAAGCAAAUCCCAUAAAGUUGUUCUCAGUUCGGAUUGUAGUCUGCAACUCGACUACAUGAAGCUGGAAUCGCUAGUAAUCGUAGAUCAGCAUGCUACGGUGAAUACGUUCCCGGGUCU